rnacentral:rRNA from 1 species
CCUACGGGUGGCUGCAGUGAGGAAUAUUGGUCAAUGGGCGGAAGCCUGAACCAGCCAAGUAGCGUGCGGGAUGAAGGCCCUACGAGUCGUAAACCGCUUUUGCACGGGGAUAACACCCUCCACUUGUGGAGGUCUGCAGGUACCGUGCGAAUAAGGGCCGGCUAAUUCCGUGCCAGCAGCCGCGGUAAUACGGAGGGCCCGAGCGUUAUCCGGAUUCAUUGGGGUUAAAGGGUGCGUAGGCGGUCGUUAAAGUCAGCUGUAAAAUCGCGCGGCUCAACCGCGCACCGCAGUUGAUACUGGACGCCUGGAGUGUACAACAGGCAGGCGGAAUGUGUGGUGUAGCGGUGAAAUGCAUAGAGAUCAUGAGGAACCCCGAUUGCGAAGGCAGCCUGCCGGGGUGCGACUGACGCUGAGGCUCGAAGGCGCGGGUAGCAAACAGGAUUAGAUACCCUAGUAGUC